GAACAAGCUCACGGCAACAUGGCUGCUGCUUGCACCACGACUGAGAGAGGAGGACUCGGGAGGACUCGGGAGGGAGGUUCGGUCUGUGUUCGGCUCCACUCGGCUUUUUCCGAGCCUGUACUGGUGACUCCUCCAGUGUGUUGGAGCGAGUCCAGUUUGACAGUGGAUCACAGGAGAGCAGGUGUCCCCCGUACUGUACAGUAUUUUGUGACCAGUGCUUUGUGAAAAAUGUCAAAUUUAAAAUAUAUAUAAAAUUAUAAACCACAUGAA